UACGGGGGGGGCAAGCGUUGUUCGGAAUUACUGGGCGUAAAGCGUGCGUAGGCGGUUUGUUAAGUCUGUCGUGAAAGCCCCGGGCUCAACCUGGGAAUGGCGAUGGAUACUGGCGAGCUAGAGUACGGUAGAGGAGAGUGGAAUUCCCGGUGUAGCAGUGAAAUGCGUAGAGAUCGGGAGGAACAUCAGUUGCGAAGGCGGCUCUCUGGACCAGUACUGACGCUGAGGCACGAAAGCGUGGGGAGCAAACAGG
rnacentral:rRNA from 1 species